rnacentral:lncRNA from 1 species
UUACUCUCGGAGUCUGAAGAGGUGGGCCGAGCUUGAGUUUUAGACAGCUGCAAGCCUCCAUGUGGGUUCUGAGAAUCAAAGCCUGCCUGGAAAGGCAGCCAUGGUCCUGGUUUCUGAGCUGUCCUCCAUCCCAUUAGUUGUAUCAUUAGCUGAAGAGUUCCACCUGGUGACCUUCUGAGACGUGAGUCUCAGACAGCGUGCCACCAGCACCUCUGGGCAUACACCAAAGAAGUCACUCUGACCCCAAGUAAAACCCGGUAGUUUGCCAAUAUUUUCACCAGUUAGGAAUUAAAGGAAUUUAGUCAUAGGACUUGAAAAUAAAUUGAAGUCUCUUUUUAGCCAUAUUUUGUUUUUAGUGGCGACCAAGAUCUCAUUCAUCGCAAAGCCUUUUCCUAGGCAUGAAUGCCUGUGUUUGAGCCAGGAAUCACAAGCGAUUGACUAUGACCCAGCACAGGGUGGGGUGGGAUUCCUGGCACCUUUUUUUUUUUUUAAGUAAAGGAAAAAACAACUGAGCAGAAAUUGUUACUUUCAAAAGCUUUUUGUGGGAAUGGAGAUGAAAGAGACUAGUUUUUAAAAAUUCCCUUAUUGCAAGAAUUAUAAACAUGAUUGUGUGAUGCC